GGGCCCGCACAAGCGGAGGAACAUGUGGUUUAAUUCGAUGAUACGCGAGGAACCUUACCCGGGCUUGAAAGUUAGCGACGGAUUCCGAAAGGAGUCUUCCCUUCGGGGCGCGAAACUAGGUGCUGCAUGGUUGUCGUCAGCUCGUGCCGUGAGGUGUCGGGUUAAGUCCCAUAACGAGCGCAACCCCUAUCGUUAGUUACCAGCGAGUCAUGUCGGGGACUCUAACGAGACUGCCUGUGUAAGCAGAGAGGAAGGUGGGGAUGACGUCAAAUCAGCACGGCCCUUACGUCCGGGGCGACACACGUGUUACAAUGGUCGGUACAGAGGGCCGCUACCCACGUGAUGGGAUGCCAAUCUCGAAAGCCGAUCUCAGUUCGGAUUGGAGGCUGAAACCCGCCUCCAUGAAGUUGGAUUCGCUAGUAAUCGCGCAUCAGCCAUGGCG
rnacentral:rRNA from 1 species